CAAGUGUAUGUUCAACUUCAAAUAUAGAGCAAAAUUUAUUUAUCGUGCAGUUGUUGUGGAAUUUGUUGAACCAGACUGAUUUUUUUCUUCGGUUUUCCCGGUUUUCCGAGUUUUUUUCUUCGUUUUUUGGGCUGAAAAACAAAGUUCCCAACAGCUCCUGUGUAAAAAUGGAGAAGAUUGACAAGGCCUUCUGGAUUUAAGCCAAUUUUAUUAUUCUAGUACAUAAACAUUGGGCAAUAAAGGAGUUUCUCGGAUCCCCAUACGACCAAGACAGACGAAACUGUUUCAUGAAACUAAAAACCUUAAAACUAAGUGCUGUUAAAAUAUCAUAAAUGUAACUACGUUUGUGAUAAAAAUAUGCAUUCUUCAAUUUUCUGUACAAUAAAUAUAUUGUCACAAUCUAAG